UGCCCAGGCGCGAAAACUUUACAAUGCUGGAAACCGUGAUAAGGGAACUCCGAGUGCCCGUAAAAUCGGGCUGUCCAUCUGUUUAAAUAACAGGUGAAGAAAGGGCCGGGCAAGACCGGUGCCAGCCGCCGCGGUAAUACCGGCGGCUCGAGUGGUGGCCACUAUUACUGGGCUUAAAGCGUUCGUAGCUGGUCUGUUAAGUCUCUGGGGAAAUCUACUGGCUUAACCAAUAGGCGUUUCAGGGAUACUGGCAGACUAGGGACCGGGAGAGGUGAGAGGUACUCCAGGGGUAGGAGUGAAAUCCUGUAAUCCUUGGGGGACCACCUGUGGCGAAGGCGUCUCACCAAAACGGCUCCAACAGUGAGGGACGAAAGCUGGGGGAGCAAACCGGAUUAAAUACCCGGGUAGUCCCAGCCGUAAACGAUGCACGUUAGGUGUAUCGGUGACCACGAGUCACCGAGGUGCCGAACAGAAAUCGUGAAACGUGCCGCCUGGGAAGUACGGUCGCAAGGCUGAAACUUAAAGGAAUUGGCGGGGGAGCAC
rnacentral:rRNA from 1 species